UACGGGGGGGGCAAGCGUUGUUCGGAAUUACUGGGCGUAAAGCGCGUGUAGGCGGCCAUACAGGUCCGUUGUGAAAACUCGAGGCUUAACCUCGAGACGUCGAUGGAAACCGUAUGGCUAGAGUCCGGAAGAGGAGAGUGGAAUUCCUGGUGUAGCGGUGAAAUGCGCAGAUAUCAGGAAGAACACCCGUGGCGAAGGCGGCUCUCUGGGACGGUACUGACGCUGAGACGCGAAAGCGUGGGGAGCGAACAGG
rnacentral:rRNA from 1 species